GUGGACUUGUCUUAUUGGUCUUGUUUAUUUCUACAUAUGUUAGUAUUUACGUGUAAAUUAAUACUAACCUGUUUGAAUCCAAUAAAUGAAUGAGUCCACCGUGAACCCAAUAAGCGGCGUCUACUGUAAAUGAGCUUAAAAUAGCGCUUCAAACGGGUAGCACAGCACAACAGUUUCCUCAAGCGAUAACUCUGUGAACCUAAACAUAAUUUCGCCACUAUAAUUUUAUAUGACCAGGUGACAUCCGUUGUGGUUUGGAUUUGUACCAAUACACUAAGUAUAUAACUUAAAAAUAUACAUACCUAUACAUUAAUUCGGUGUGUUUCACUCGUCAAAUAGCAACACAAAAUAUUUCAGAUAGACAUAGUCAGAUUCAGGGAUAUCAUUUGAGGGAUGCAGUGCGUGCACUCGUACCCCCUUUAAAUUUAUAUCCAUAUAGUUCUAUGUAAAGCUAAUAAAUAAUGAAUGAUUGAAUUAGAUAGAAUAAAUGGUAUAAUAGUUUUUUUACUAACUGACUACAAACUACUAUAAAAUAAAAUAAGUUUUUCACUUAACUCCUGAAGAAAUAAUCACAUGUAAAUGCAAGUAACAUACAGUAGGUUUUUUUAGAUUUUUCAAGCAAGAAAAAAUAUACCAUGGGUAUAUAAAAUUAAUUUUGUAAACAAUUAAUUACAUAGAGCUAAAUAUAAUAAAUACAUAAAUAAACACAAAAAAACUAAUUUGAUAAAUAACAAUUGUACUGCAGUUGUAUAAAUGUUACUAUGAUAGUUAGAAAUACCCUACGUAAACUGCUAUAACUCAGUCAAAUAGUCAAAUACCUACUUCCUACCUAAAUACUAUACUUGUUAUCUCGAAUAUUUAUGAAAUUUUCAAACAAAUAAUCUUCAUAAAGUACCAGCUAGAGCCAAAACACAACGAAAACGGCCUCUUAUCAUGUUUUAAUUGGAGUAGGUUUUCUAGGAGAAAAGUUGUUAAUAGAAAGAACAAAUAAAUAAAACACAUCAUUAUAAUGAAUAAUUCAUUCUUUGCUUCACUCAGAAUCUAAAACAAAUAUUAACUAAAAUGUUUAGGUUUUCAUCAGUGAUAUAUGUCAUAAUUAAGCAGUAAUAUGAAUAUAAAUAAAAAAAUCAGAAAAAUUAGAAAAGAGCAAUUUGUCUAAAAACAAUAGAAAUAAGCUAAAAAAAAAAAAGUACUUUCAAAUUUCAUAUUCAAGAUCAUUGUAACAUGGCACGAAUUUCCAUAGCAUUCUGAUAGAUAUUAUAUUCAGCCGAAAAACAAAAAAUGCUUUAAGUCCCGAACUCUAACUAUCAAUGUUACUGAACUUAAGACUUAUUACGAAGUUUAUAUUGAUAACGUUAUUAUGACUAAUGAUUUUUAAGAAAAUAGUAACUAAGACACUUUAGUCUCCUUGUCAGUAUAGUAAUCAUACUAUACCUCGUGUUUGGUAAUUAGGUAAGAUUUUAAUUUGCGCUAAAACUGAUAUUAUAUAGGGGUUUUUUAAGUCCCUCUCUAAUAUCUCUAAGUUAUUAAACUAAAUUUUCUACAUUAAAAAAAUGAUUAACACAUAAUGAUUUCUUUUAAAUAAAAUCGUAGGUAUUAUAAACAAAAAAUUACUUUUUAUUAAUCAUUUUUGUGGUAUCGAAAAAUUGUAUUCAUAAAUUAAAUCCGUUAGAAGGGGGUCUAUUAAACCCUUUUUUUAUUUUUGCGUUUUCAUAUAUUUUUUAAGUAAUUUUGUUCAAGGCUUUUUGAUGUUUUAAAAUUUGAAAAUGCUUUUUUGUGUAUUUUAAGAACAUAUAAAUUCAGUCUCUACUUAUAAUGUUAUAUUUAUAAUAUCAAUAUGUUGUUUCAAAAUAAAUGCCUAUCAUAGAUUUUAUAUAAAAAUAAUUAUUUUAUUUUUAGUUAAUUGAAAACUAUAAAAUAAGUAGAAACACACUACGAUAUUUUAAUAAUUAUUACAAAAAAAAAAAAAAAAAUACCGAACAGAACAAAUUUUUGCAUUUGUCGGAUUUUCGUAGAACGCCCUGUAUAUUUUAUACGAGUGCCUUACAUUAUAAUGGUAUAUAGAUAACUGUUAAUAAUUUUUUAUACUACGAGUAUUUGUAUAUUGUCGGCUAAUAAACAUUUUCGUCGCGGUCAAACUCCUACGCAUAUAAGGUCGUAUAUCAUAUUAUUGUUACCUAUAUUUGUCGAAAGUAAAUAAUAUAAUAAUAUAAUAAUAAGUUAAAUAAUUCACCUAUACACAAUACUCGAGCUACAUUAUACUUUCGUUGGAUUACCUUUUUCAGUUUUCAAGUAAAUAUUUGUCUGUCGGCGUGUUUCUCGCUGUUAUCGUAUACCUAUAAUAAAACUUUCAAAGCUACCUAUACACAAACAUAAUAUUAUGUUUCUCGACGUGAAUAAACCGCCUCCUAUAUAUUAUUAUCCUUCAAAUGAAUAAUUCACCAUAUUUUUUAGGUGAUCUCCGGUAUAUAAUAUAAUAUAGAGGUAUACAGGGUGAUUCUUUUAUUAUGAACCUGUAAUUUUCUCGAAGGAUUCUAAGUGAAUUUGAUUUCUGUUUUUUUUUUUUCGUUUAAUCAUUGUGGAAUCGUUUAAACUCCCUUCCUUUGAAUCACAGAUUUAAAUAGAGAAAAUUGUUCAAGAAAUUUUAAUUUGCAAACCACUAAUAUCAGAUAUGCCAUUUAUGAGUUAUAACAGUUAAAAGUUUAGACUGGCGGAGUAAGGAAAAGUUAUCAAUUUAUUAUAUAAAUAAAAUCUAUGCCAUUUAUUAUCUCUUACCUAUUCCUCCGGUUUAAAUUUUAAACUGUUAUCACUCAUAAAAGGUAAAUCUGAUAUCAGUGUUAAGCACAUCAAAAUGUCCAAAAUAAUAAUAUUCUCUUUCGAAUCUGAGUUCAAAAAAUUUGGAGGGAUUGUUUUUCAAAAUAUUAAUAAUAUGUUAAUCAUAAGUUUAUAAUUAUUUAAGGUAUAUAGAGUAGAGAUAAAAGAAUACAGAUGGUUUUAAAAUAAAACUGAAACUACAAAUGCAUUGUAUUUCAUAAUGAAUAGUAAAAAAAAAAAUUCACAUUAAAUGAUUCGAGAAAAUUACUGGUUCAUGAUAAAAGAAUCAACCUAUAUAGUUUGUACUCGUGUUGUUAUAGGGGGGUUGCACACAAUCUGUUUUUAUUUUUUGCUCAAAAGAUUUGCUUUACAUAUAAAACUCUUGUGUCUCGUAGGCGAAGGUUAAUUGGUGGAAGAAGAACAAAAUAUUAAGAAGUAUGUUGAACUUUUUUUUUAAAAUUGAUUGAAAAUCGAUGUUUCUUUUUACGAUAAUUUUUCUUGUAAAGCGUGUUAUUGAGUAAUAAAAAGCCCCCUUGUUAUACAGAUUAAAACUGAUUGGACUAUUUAUUAAGACUUAUAAAGAGGCUUUUAUUUAAGUUAUUUCCAAAUGUAUUCAGUUCGUAUAUUGUUAAACAUUUUGUAAAAAGCCACAAACAAGACCCUUAAGCUCCUUAUAUAAUUUCCAAGUGUUUUAUUUUAUUUUGUUGCCUUUUGUAUAUAAUAUUUAUAAUAUUAUUAGAGUUCAAUAAUAAUUUAAUAUCGUUAGGAUAAAAAAAAGAUUAAAAUUGUAUAAUAUUACCAAUAAUAGUAUGUAAAUUGUAAAUAUCAUGUUACGAUGAUGCUGUAUACUAUAUACUGUUUGAUAAUUGUUUUGUAUUACCUAUAUAAAACAGUUCUUAAAUUAUCAUUUAUAGUAAGUAUAGACACAAAAUGUAUACUGUUUUUUCCGUCAA